AUACGUAGGUGGCAAGCGUUGUCCGGAUUUACUGGGUGUAAAGGGCGUGUAGGCGGAGAUGCAAGUCAGGAGUGAAAUCUAGGGGCUCAACCCCUAAACUGCUUUUGAAACUGUAUCCCUUGAGUACCGGAGAGGCAGGCGGAAUUCCUUGUGUAGCGGGGAAAUGCGUAGAUAUUAGGAGGAACACCAGUGGCGAAGGGGGCCUGCUGGACGACAACUGACGCUGAGGCGCGAAAGCGUGGGGAGCAAACAGGAUUAGAUGCCCUGGUAGUCCACGCUGUAAACGAGAAAUACUAGGUGUGGGGGGACUGACCCCCUCCGUGCCGCAGUUAACACAAUAAGUAUUCCACCUGGGGAGUACGAUCGCAAGAUUGAAACUCAAAUGAAUUGACGGGG
rnacentral:rRNA from 1 species